GUCCAAGCCACGAGAUCACAAACUUAGGCAACAAGUAACAAUCAACCGUCAUCGAUAACCAGCCAUCAUCAAAGCCGGUACUGUACCAUCACGAGAGGAACGGCACAAAGCAGAUGGGAUUUGUUUACUUUUCUAGAUAGACCAACGCCAAGCGAUAACGUUACAUAAGUAGAAUUAGUAAGGAUAAACAAGGAUGAGAAAGAGAAUGAUGAUUAUGAAAACACCGAUCGCCUAUCGGUCGAGCGUCAGUCUUGUUUCAUUAGCUGUUAAGUGAAGAAGGAAAUAAAGUUCAGGGUUUCAACCCAUAAUUGGCGCUGUAGCAGUCGGUCACAGUUCGGUAGUGACAGUGUUAAAAACAGUGGAACAGUGAAGAAAUAAGAAAUCAUCACUAAGUGGUACCCGCAGCAGCAUCCGCAACUGAAGGAUUAAAUCCGUUGUUGGAUUUGAGGACCCCCCGGCACGACAACUUACCACACUGGAACCAAGGACCCCACCGGUUUCUCAAGACACCGACCGAUGUUUUUUCCUUUCUUUCCCAAACACAAUCGCAGGUACACAAUAUUACGUAUAACCCACGCAGUGUUGAUGCUCCUCUCUGUUAAUUCUACUCAGGCCUUUUUUUUAUACCACCGGAUUUUCCUCGGAAGUACAGCAGGAUGGAGUUAGACAUUUCGGCGUGGGCCAGUGGAUGUGGAUGAUACGCUGGAUGUUUUGCGGGGGCAAAUAAAUGUACCUGGUGGGAGGGUCUUCGGAAAGCUACGAUUGAUUUGUUUCUGAUCUGUGCCGAGUUUGCAUCGUAUUGACCAUCGGCGCCAUGCGUGUUCCAGCCGAAGCCAAUCCUUGCAUACUUUGGUCCCGAUAAAUCUAUGCUCCUCGAACUAAUGGAAUUCUUAUGUAAGAGACGAUGAGCGACUCCGGAACACAGCACACACCCACAGCAGGUGACUAAAUGAUGCAAACCAAAAAAAAACUAACACCUCGUGAUUGUUUAAUGCGCUGUCCGUAUCCACCACAACAAUCAGAAUAUAGGCCCACAACAGUAACGCCGCAGCUUGCUCCGCGUAAAGGUCACGACGUGGUAUCCCGAGUCUCUUUUAGCAGGAUUUCACUUUCUUCUGGUGAGAGCGGGAGGUCAUCCACGACAAGAAAUGGAACAAUUCCUUACAGUGUUCUCAUUUCCACUCUACCGCCACAACGGACAAUUUUGUGGGAAUAUGGGAAGUGCCAUUCUUCCACUCGUCGUCGCAGGAGUGGACACCGAGAUAAGCUGCUUCGAGACGCAAGGACGCAAGGUGCUGGUUUUCUACACAGCGAUCCAGAUCUGGGUUUGUAGGUUAAAGAGAGUGGCAUUUUUGUUCAAUAUGGCGACCCUUUUUGAAUUAAUCGGUAAAGAGCCGGGAAUAGCCUCUUCGCACGGAAUGCGAUCUUAUCGGGCCCGCUUAGCAGGUCUCUCAAGGGGGAUAGUUUCAUUCUGAUGUAACGAUUGGAUUAUUCGGUCCUGAUGUGUUUAAACGGGUGAAGUUUGUGAGAUAGAUCAGGAAAGACAUGCGAAUCAAUUUCGUUUGUUUUGCUGUAGAAAACAUUAGGUAUAUUUUAAGCAAACUCUGGAAUAUUUAAACAAUUUUUUUAAAUAUGCUGAAUAAAUAUCAAAAAUCCAGGAAAAUAUUUUUCUUUGUUUUCGAGAUAUAUUUUCUAGAGAUACUAUGUCUUAUGUACGCAAAACCACUCACGCCUCCAUUGUUACGUUAUGUUUUAGAUUUUUACUAGCGGGCCCGGCGAAUUUGGAUCCGCCCAAAAUUUGUGUUUCGAGACAUGGUUUUUUCGCAUUAAAAUGCAGGUAAACCAUCGAAAAAAACUAAAUGGACGAUAACUUCGGCAAAUGUGCUCCUUUUCAUAUAUCGCACAAAAACAACCGCACAAAAACAGAAAAUCGCAUAAAAAAGACCGCACAAGAACAUAUUUUCCUGUACUUUUACAAUAACGAAACACGAAGUUCAAUGUCGUCAACGUCAAUUCCAGUCGAACAAAUGAACCCCAAUUGGACAAACCAUUCACAGCAGAACUGCAGGAGAAGCGUAUUCGAUUUUUUUUCGAAUUUUCCUAGCUUUCUUCGAUAUUCAACAAUUUAUUCUAUUAUUUUAAUUUGAGUGGAGACGAACACAACUGAAUAAAGACAGCUUAAAUCUGAUCAUCUGUUCUAUUGGGAUGAUGAGUUAUACGUACGGACAAAAUCUUUCU